UAGGGAAUCUUCCACAAUGGGCGAAAGCCUGAUGGAGCAACGCCGCGUGUGUGAUGAAGGGUUUCGGCUCGUAAACACUGUUGUAAGAGAAGAAUGACAUUGAGAGUAACUGUUCAAUGUGUGACGGUAUCUUACCAGAAAGGAACAGCUAAAUACGUGCCAG
rnacentral:rRNA from 1 species